GCAUUAGGUUAUGGGGCUUAGGAAAUGUUUAAGGUUUUUGGCGUUAGGGUUAAAAUCACUGUCCAAAAACCUUUGUAGGAACUCUUUUCCAACCUUUUGGAGUUAGGUAGACCAAAAAAAAAAGUAAAAUUAAAAAAAAAUAUUUGGGGUGUUCAGGCUUACUGAAGGUAAUACCCGGGUAUCAGGUAAUGGGGCUAUGGUAAAGUUUAAGGUUUUUGGCGUUAGGGUGAAAAUCACUGUCCAAAACCUUUGUAGGAACUCUUUUCCAACCUUUUGGAGUCAGUUCGACCAAAAAAAAAGAAAAAUGAAAAAAAAAAAAUAUUUGGGGUUUUCAGGCUUCCUGGAGGUAAUACCCUAAUAUUAGGUUAAGGGGCUAUGGUAAGGUUUAAGGUUUUUGGCGAUAGGGUUAAACUAACUGUCCAAAACCUUUUUAGGAACAUGUUUCAGACCUUUUGGAGUUGGUUACACACAAAAAAAAUGUAAAAUGAAAAAAAAAUAUUUGGGGUGUUCGGGCUUCCUGAAGGUAAUACCCGGGUAUUAGGUUUUGGGGCUAUGGUAAGGGUUCAGUUUUUUGGCAUUAGGGUUAAAAUUAUUGUCCAAAACCUUUGUAGGAACUCUUUUCCAACCUUUUGGAGUUAGUUAGACCAAAAAAAAAAGAAAAAUGAAAAAAAAAUAUUUGGGGUUUUCGGGCUUCCUGAUGGCAAUACCCGGGAAUCAGUUUCUGGGGCUUUGGAAAGGUUUAAGGUUUUUGGCGUUAGGGUUAAAAUCACUGUCCAAAACCUUUGUGGGAACUCUUUUCCAAGCUUUGGAGUUAGUUACACCAAAAAAAAAAUGAAAAAUGAAAAAAAAAAUAUUUGGGGUGUUCGGGCUUCCUGAAGGUAAUACCCAGGUAUUAGGUUAUGGGGCUAGGGUAAGGUUUUAGGUUUUUGGCGUUAGGGUUAAAAUCAAUGUCCAAAACCUUUGGAGGAACUCUUUUCCAAGCUUUUGGAGUUAGUUAGACCAAAAAAACCUGAAAAAUAAAAAAAUAUAUAUUUGGGGUGUUCGGGCAUCCUGAAGGUAAUACCCGGGUAUUAGGUUUUGGGGCUAUGGUAAGGGUUCAGUUUUUUGGCAUUAGGGUUAAAAUUUUUGUCCAAAACCUUUGUAGGAACUCUUUUCCAACCUUUUGGAGUUAGUUAGACCAAAAGAAAAAGAAAAAUGAAAAAAAAAUAUUUGGGGUUUUCGGGCUUCCUGAAGGCAAUACCCGGGAAUCAGUUUCUGGGGCUUUGGAAAGGUUUAAGGUUUUUGGCGUUAGGGUUAAAAUCACUGUCCAAAACCUUUGUAGGAACUCUUUUCCAACCUUUUUGAGUCAGUUAGACCAAAAAAAAAGAAAAAAGAAAAAAAUAUAUUUGCGGUUUUCAGGCUUCCUGGAGGUAAUACCCGGGUAUUAGGUUAUGGGGCUUAGGAAAGGUUUAAGGUUUUUGGUGAUAGGGUUAAAAUAACUGUCCAAAACCUUUUUAGGAACAUGUUUCAGACCUUUUGGAGUUGGUUACACCAAAAAAAAAUGUAAAAUGAAAAAAAAAUAUUUGGGGUGUUCAGGCUUCCUGAAGGUAAUACCCGGGUAUUAGGUUAUGGGGCUAUGGUAAGGUUUAAGGUUUUUGACGUUAGGGUGAAAAUAUCUGUCCAAAACCUUUGUAGGAACUCUUUUCCAACCUUAUGGAGUUCGUUAGACCAAAAAAACAAGAAAAAUGAAAAAAAAAUAUUUGGGGUGUUCGGACUUCCUGAAGGUAAUACCCGGGUAUUAGGUUAUGGGGCUAUGGUAAGGUUUAAGGUUUUUGACGUUAGGGUGAAAAUAACUGUCCAAAACCUUUGUAGGAACUCUUUUCCAACCUUAUGGAGUUCGUUAGACCAAAAAAAAAAGAAAAAUGAAAAAAAAAAUUUGGGGUGUUCGGGCUUCCUGAAGGUAAUACCCAGGCAUUAGGUUAUGGGGCUUAGGAAAUGUUUAAGGUUUUUGGCGUUAGGGUUAAAAUCACUGUCCAAAAACCUUUGUAGGAACUCUUUUCCAACCUUUUGGAGUUAGGUAGACCAAAAAAAAAAGUAAAAUUAAAAAAA
rnacentral:lncRNA from 1 species